GGUCACACCAAGUAUGCUUCCUUCAUGUGCAGUUGGGGGCUUUAUGUGUCAGCCAGUGCACCUGGAAUUUCUAUCACAUGUCUUUUCAGCAGAAAUAAACACUUUUGGGGGUUUUUUUGUCCAAGAGGGAGCUCAGUUUGUUUUGUGUAAAAAUUUCCACAUGAAGUGGUUGCAGCUGAGCCUGACUCCUGGCGAGCUGACUCAGCUAAGUGCAGCCUGAUAGAAGAAGACUGACAAACUGAAGAUGCUGUUGUCUUGUUGGAAUUCAGGAGGUUAAUCCUGUGGGACUUUAAAUAUUGAUGACUACCUUUCAAUGUAGAGACAUGUACUACAUUCUCCAGAAGCAGCAUUCACUGUGGUUAUCACUAGCUGGAUUGGGAACUCGUCAGCAGCCUAUACUGAACAGGACAAAUUUGUCCCAACAAAGACCAUCCAAGCAGGAUGGAACUGCAUUUGACUUUGCCCAGAAUGACCACCAUGCAGCAGCCCAUUAACCUGCAGGUGUGAAUCAGCUGGCAUUACAUGACCAGGGAGCUCCAAGACAAGAGUCUCACAACUGGUGUACACCGAGUGCUGCAUUAAUGGGGAUGAGUGUGGAAAGAGAGAAAAGGAGGUCAGAAGCGUGGAAGCAGACUGCAUGAAGAUGAAGAAGGAAAUAUUCAGUGUUGCCAGAAUGCAUACUCAGUGCCAAGUGAGAGAGAAAUAAGUGGCAAUAUAAGAAUAAAGGUAUUACUAUGUGA